CUCUUUCUUUCGCGAUUUCAAAGAUGAAAUGGAAACUGAAGUUGAUUUCAAGCAAAUCGGAGGAACAACCGACGUUAUUUACCUCCGGCGAUCGUUCCUGCUACAGAUUAUCAUCCCCACCGACGCUUCGAUUCGAAAUCGGGGAUAAAUUCAACAGAUCUUCGAGUUUCGAUUCGAAAUCGGUGACAAUCGGUUUGUAAAGAGUGAAGUUGUGACGUAGUCUUUGGUAAUGGAAGACAUCAGGAAAGAAAUAGAUUUUGGUGAUUGGCAUUCAAAUCUCGCUCACGAUGAAUGGACACCACUCCCUGUUUCCGGCUCACCAGCAUCAGCUCGCUACAAGGUCAUUGAUUAGAUUUUUGUCUGUGGUUAAGCAUUUGAUUAAAUUGGAGAUAAUUUCUCCCUAAACCUUUUCGUGUGUUCUCUGGAAGCCGUAAUGGCCGAUACUUAUCUGAUGUCCAGGUGUUUGAUCUUAGAAGUUUGACUUGGUCGAGUUUGAAACUGAAAACUGAAUCAUCAAGUACUGAGAACAUUCAAGAGGAUGAUGGUAGCAGUUUACGGGAAGCUUUUUCUGCUAUUUCAGACCACCGCAUGAUUAAGUGGGGAAACAAGCUUCUUUUGAUUGGGGGACACUCCAAGAAGUCAUCAGAUAACAUGUCAGUGUGGUUCAUUGAUUUGGAAACACAUUUAUGUGGAGUCAUUGAUGUGUCUGGGAAUGUUCCAGCUUCACGUGGUGGACAUUCCAUUACACUGGUUGGAUCCGGAGUGCUUGUUUUUGGUGGGGAAGAUAAGAACAGGAGACUUUGUUCACGGACAUGACAAGUAUUCAUUGUAACCACAUGUUUCACUUUGCUUUGUACCACAAGUAACUUUGCUUCUUAACCAUGUAUAUGUUUUGUGUAGUCCACUAUAAAUAUGACCAUGUAAUAUCGCUUUGUAAUAUCAAUAAGUUUCAGACUC